rnacentral:snRNA from 1 species
GGGUGUGAGGGCGAUCUGGCUGUGACAUGUCACCCCACUGAUCAUCAGGGUUGAUACCACUGAUCUGGUUGGUGAGGUGGCCUCACAAGCUAUGACAUCAUGGCUCUCUUUUUGUCUUUUAUAUUCUAUCUAGGGUACAUGCCCUUAGGGUGAGCAGCACUCACAACCAGGUGGGGCUUCCCAUUAUCCAUACCCAGAACUAUGCCAAACCAAUGGAUAAACACAGUAAUCACACAUCCUUGAUACUAGCAUCACAAUCCCAGAUCACAUACUCUAGAUACAGCCACCUCCGAAAAGCCCCACCUAUGAUUGUACAGCUCCAUCCAUCCCUCCUGAAGCUGUGCAAUCAAUCUAAGAGGACAGCCUCCAGAUAUAUGAGGACCUUUUCUUGGUUAAGGUACAGGAUUAGUUGUACUCCCCUACCUGAACCUCCAAACAAGCUCUUAUGAAAAUAUGACUAAAUAGCGAAUGAAAUAGUUUAACUUUACAGAUCCAAACUAUCAUCUAAUUAUUAAAUCACGUAAUAGUCUAACAUGUU